UUAGAGGAAAAAUACUUGGUAAGAUUUUGUGUUUUUGAAGUGCAGCAGUUUCGCCGACACACGUCUGAUCUUUGUGUUGGUGGAGAGUGAAUAGGAAACACUGAAGGUUAACCUGUGCUGGACUCUGACUGACGGGUUUCCAUGACGACAGCCAGCCGUUGGAUCGAGGGAAAUGUGACAUGGAGCGGAUCUACAGAGACGACACCAUCUCCAGGAAACUGAGAUGUUAUGAAGAGAGACAGACUGGGAGGAGAAACUGAUUAUUGCCCUGGAAGUAGAAGUCUAAACAGCGAGUGUCCAGCAUGUGUGGGAUCUGCAGAGAUGUUAGAUUCCUCUUUUCUAACCUUAGAGGUCGGCAGUAUGAACUUAUCACGAUAUUUGGUGGCCGUGUUGUGGUAACAAUUAAGUUAUUUUCUGUUUUUGUGGCGGGAAACCAAGCGAAGCUCGUUGAUUCGACCCGGUUGGUGCUCCAGCCGGCUCCGCCUCGUGUCAGCCGGGCCCUGAUGGAUCCUCGCUGCACGUUUUGGAGGGGAUUACAGCCAUCUGCAGGCUCUUGAGGAACAAAGGCUCUCCUCCCUGCAGCUCUUCAGAGGGACAACGCGGCCUGCAAACGUGCUUCUGGACUCGUUCUCCUGCCCACCUUUGACCCCUCCAGGCCACCGUAGGUCCCCUCACUCUUCAGGGCUGAAUGUCAUCAGACACAAUUACACACACAAUGUGUUGGAAACCCUUAACUUUUCUCUUGUUUCACAUUAAAAU